UGGGGUUUGGGCAGAUUCCAAAGGUUUAUGUGUUCAAGGGGUCAAAGGAAGUUUCUAAAGAUCAAGUGUUGGAGCAAAUGGGCUUCUUUGCAAAUAAGCUUAAACCAACCACAGGUGUCAUUGCUGGGGUUAGAGAUGGACUUUCUCAAGAGAGUAUUUCUAGGUUUUUGUUGCCUGCAUCUGAGUGCGAGUUUACACUCAACUCGAUAUUAGAGGAGCUUCAAAGAGAUCCUUGGCCCGUGCCAGCUGAUCAUCGAGCUGCACGGUGCACUGGUACAGCAUUGAGUGUGGCUUCUCAUUUGUUGGGUAUAUGUGUUCCAGGUUCUGGGGCCAGAAUUAUGGCAUUCUUAGGUGGGCCCUCAACAGAAGGGCCAGGUGCUAUUGUGUCGAAGAUUUUAUCUGAGCCCAUAAGGUCUCACAAGGAUCUGGACAAAGAUUCUGCACCAUUGUAUCAUAAGGCUGUGAAGUUUUACGAGGGAAUUUCAAAGCAACUUGUGCAUCAAGGGCAUGUGUUGGAUGUUUUUGCUUGUGCACUUGAACAGGUCGGCCUUGCUGAAAUUAAAGUUGCAUGUGAGAAAACUGGUGGACUUGUUGUUCUUGCAGAAAGUUUUGGCCAUAGUGUUUUCAAGGAUUCUCUGAAACAAGUUUUCCAGUCAGGUGGCAAUGAUCUUGGACUGGCAUCAAACGGUAUUUUUGAGGUAAAUUGCUCAAAAGAUAUCAAAGUUCAGG
rnacentral:misc_RNA from 1 species